ensembl:lincRNA
AUUGGGUUAUAUCAUAAUCAACAUUUAGUAAUUUAUUGAUAUGUGGUGGUUUAAUAAUACAACCUUCUGAUUUAACAGUAACAUUCAAAUUUUCAAACUAUUUUUUCUUGUUAAUAGCAACAUUUUAUUGAGUUGGAUGACAAUAGGCAACGAUUAUUGCAGAAGUGCAAGGAACUUAUGAAGAGAGCUAGGCAAGUAUGUAACCUGGGUGCACAGCAGACUGUUCCUCGAGAAUAUCAGACACAAGUACCCACCAUUCCAAAUGGACACAACUCCUCACCCCCCAUGGCUUUUCAAGAUCUUCCAAACACAUUGGAUGAAAUUGAUGCUUUGUUAACUGAAGAAAGAUCAAGAGCUUCCUGCUUCACAGGACUGAAUCCUACAGUGGUUCAGGAAUACACAAAAAGGGAAGAAGAAAUAGUGCAGUUAACUGAGGAACUAAAGGGAAAUAAAGUUGAACUAGACCAAUAUAGGGAAAAUAUUUCACAGGUAAAAGAACGAUGGCUAAAUCCCUUAAAAGAGCUAGUAGAAAAAAUUAAUGAAAAAUUCAGCAAUUUUUUUAGUUCCAUGCAAUGUGCUGGUGAAGUUGAUCUCCAUACAGAAAAUGAGGAAGACUAUGAUAAAUAUGGAAUUCGAAUUAGAGUCAAGUUUCGCAGUAGUACUCAGCUGCAUGAAUUGACUCCUCAUCAUCAGAGUGGAGGUGAAAGAAGUGUUUCCACCAUGCUAUACUUGAUGGCCCUUCAAGAGCUUAAUAGAUGUCCGUUUAGAGUAGUUGAUGAAAUUAAUCAGGGAAUGGACCCGAUCAAUGAACGGAGAGUAUUUGAAAUGGUUGUAAACACUGCCUGUAAAGAAAACACAUCCCAGUACUUCUUUAUUACACCAAAGCUCCUGCAAAAUCUCCCUUAUUCUGAAAAGAUGACAGUAUUGUUUAUCUACAAUGGCCCUCAUAUGCUGGAAUCAAACAGAUGGCAUUUAAAGGCUUUCCAAAGGCGCCGCCGCCGUAUUACAUUCACUCAGCCUUCUCAGUAAAUAGAAGAAACUAUUGGAGCUUGAAAGAAUUAAAUGAGAAAAUUAUUCAUUUACUGCUGAGUUAUGCUAAUUAACAGUUACCAACAAAUUAUUUUCUUUUAAAAAAUAAAUCUUGUAAAAAAUGGAUUACUCCAAGGACAUGUCUUUGAAUUGUGGAUUGGAUCUGUGCUGGUAAUGACAGAAUUAUAUUUUUGACUGCUGGGCUGCAUAAAUUGAGUUGCAUUCACUUUGUGUUUUGCAUGUUCUUAUAUAGCCGAUGACAUUUAUAUUCAUAUUAGGUAAAAAAUAAUGUUCUCUCCCUUAGACAUUUUUCUCUUUGAAAACAUAUUUUUCUUUAUAAAUAAAAAUUUUAAGGUCCUCUCUUAAACUAAGUCUAACGCAUGAAGUAUGAAAAUAUUUUAAAAAUAUUUUCACUAUGAUGAACAAAUCACAUGAAUUUGAAAAAAUUAGUAACAUUUUAGUAAAUGGAUAUUACCAAACAUUCCUGUUCUUAACUUUGUUUUCCAUUAUAACUAAUAUGUACUGUGGUGUAAUUUUUUGUCUAAAUUAGCUGGGCAUGGUGUCACAUACCUGUAAUCCCAUUACUUGAGAGUUUAAGGGAAGAGGAUUGACAUGAAUUUGAGGCCUGCCUGGGUUACAUAGUAAUUUAAGGCCAGCCUGAAUUAAAUGGCAAGACCCUAUCUAAAACAAUAAAUAAUUCAUAGCUGUCAUCAAUUUCUAUGAAAAUGAACUCCAGUGUGAAAAAGAAGCUUGAAGAUUAAUCAAUCAUAUUUUAAAUAAAAUGGUCAAUUACCUUUCAACUUAAUUUGCCAACAUUUCAUACCUUUUUUGUAAACAUAUUUCUGUGUUGCACAAAGUUAAUAUUAGGUUUUACCUUGACUUUUGAGCUGUGAAGAAUAAAUUAUGUAUCAUUUUAAUAUCUUAAGGAAUAAUAAGGGUAGCAUAUUAUAUAUAGUCUUGGCCACUUAAAAUUUCAUGUUUUUUGCAAAUGUUGAUUUUUAAUCAAAUUGUAAAAACAUCAAGUAAAAAGCCUAAUUUGAUGAAUAAGAUGAUCUUUAAAACUUUAAGGUGAUAAGUGUUUUUGGAGACUAAAUCUACUGACAUGUCUAAGGAGAGUCUGUUAAAAGGUUUUCUGUAUUCAAAGUAAGAAGAAAGAUUUCCUGCUGCUUUCUGAUUGUGUUUUGGAUAUAUGCCUAUUGUCUUUGCAAUAUGAACCUUUAGUAUGUGAAAAAUGUAAUUUCGUCCGGCUAUUGUGUAUGUAUAUGUGUAUAAUUGUUAACUGUGUUGGAAAUGUUACUUUGUUGUAAUAAAUACAUAUUUUCAUAUUCGUUUGGUCUAUGUCAUUUAAAAAGGAUAAUUUUUUGUACUUUGAACUGUAAGAGUCAUUUUGAUUUUCAGGUUUACUAAACAAAUUUUGUAAGUGCCCACCAUUUACAAAACAAGUUUUAGCUGUUCAGAAGUGUUCAGAAGGGUGAAAGUUUAGUUCCUUGUUUGCCUGCAAUGAAAUUAGUCUAAAGGAGCAGUAAACACAUGAAAAAAUGAAGCUACCAAAAGAAGCCAAUCUACAAG